rnacentral:rRNA from 1 species
UCUGGUUGAUCCUGCCAGUAGUCAUAUGCUUGUCUCAAAGAUUAAGCCAUGCAUGUCUAAGUCCAAGCUGUGUUUACACGGCGAGACCGCGGACGGCUCAUUAAAUCAGUCGUGGUCCAAAUGGGCCAGUCCAUGCUUACUUGGAUAACUGUGGUAAUUCCAGAGCUAAUACAUGCAACCAAUACCCUGAAGUGAGUCUCCUUCCUGGCGCUUGCCGCUUGGGUUGGAUGUACUCUACUGACGGGUGCUUUUAUUAGACCAAUCUGCUGGGUGCUGGGCAUGUGUGCUUCUGUACGCAUUGUCCCGGCAUUGCUCGCUUUAUGGUGACUCUGGAUAACCUUUUUUGACGAGCGCACGUACUUCUCUGUUGAGUAAGACGGCGCUGCCACUUUCGAGUGUCUGCCUUAUCAGCUUUCAACCGCUCGCUACACGCGACCGAUGGCUUUGACGGGUAACGGGGAAUCAGGGUUCGAUUCCGGAGAGGCAGCCUGAGAGACGGCUACCACGUCCAAGGACGGCAGCAGGCACGCAAAUUACCCAAUCCCAGCUACUGGGGGAGGUAGUGACGAAAUCUAACGAUGUGGGCGCCCUUUCUGGGCCCCACAAUCGGAAUGAGCACUUUCUAAACAACCUGUUGAGAACCUACUGAAGGGCAAGUCUGGUGCCAGCAGCCGCGGUAAUUCCAGCUUCAGCAGCAUCUAUUAAAGUUGCUGCGGUUAAAAGGCUCGCAGUUGAAUGUCAGUGCCGGGCGUUGGAUAGGUGGACGUUGGGGUGUGAGAUUCAGUUGUCUCUGAGUGCGCGGUGCGUGGCGUUCUGCGUCUCACGCCGUGUCUCUUUGAUGGCUCUCACAAGCCCCCGUCCGUGACAAGCCUCCACGCCUGUGUACAUAGUGAUGCCUCUUUGACAUGCGUCGCGGGGUGAAUUCCUUGUGGCGUGUGUCUUUGGUUUUCAGUGUCACCCUGAGUAAAUCAGAGUGCUCAAAGCAGUCGUAAAGGGCCUCGGUCCUGUGAACAGUCUUGACAGACUGACUUGGUUUUGCAUGGUAUGUCGGAAGACGAUAUCGAGUGCUGGCUACGAGAAUCACCAGUGGUAUAAGCCAGCCUCGAUAUACUGAUUAAAAGGGCUUGUCGAGGGCAUUGGUACUGCGGAGCGAGAGGUGAAAUUCUAUGACCUCCGCAAGACCUCUCGAAGCGAAAGCGUCUGCCAAGGAUGUUUUCAUUAAUCAUGAACGAAAGUUAGAGGAUCGAAGGCGAUCAGAUACCGCCCUAGUUCUAACCCUAAACGAUGCCAACCAUCAAUCCGCUGUAGCACCCUUUCUGACGGGCUCGGCGGGCAGCUCUUCUCACACGGGAAACCAGAGUCUCUGGGUUCCGGGGGGAGUCUGGUUGCAAAGCUGAAACUUAAAGGAAUUGACGGAAAGGCACCACCAGGAGUGGAGCCUGCGGCUUAAUUUGACUCAACACGGGCCAUCUCACCAGGCCAGAACUCUAGCAUGAUUGACAGAUUGAAAGCUCUUUCUCGAUUCAGUGGAUGGUGGUGCAUGGCCGUUCUUAGUUGGUGGAGUGAUCUGUCUGGUUAAUUCCGAUAACGAACGAGACUCUCCCCUGCUAAAUAGUCGGUUGGAUCUUGCUCGGUGAGUCUUGUCCCGUUGAGUACUCGGCGUUUUGGUCUGUGUUGCGUGUGCCUUCUGUGGGUUGGGGAUCGCGGUUCGCCGUGUGUCCUCUCCCUGGAUGUGUAUGCGUGCGCGCCUGUUCGCAAAGAGGCUUCGGGUAACAAACUCCAAGUCCGCCGCUUAUGCUAUAACUCUUCUUAGAGGGAUAUACGGUUCUGAAGCCGUCAGAGACUGAGAGCAAUAACAGGUCUGUGAUGCCCUUAGAUGCUCUGGGCCGCACGCGCGCUACAAUGCCGGGCACAGCAGGUUUCUUUCCUGCUCCGAGAGGAGCGGGCAACCCUCUGAAAGCCCUUGGUUUUACAGGCACACACCUCACGGUGUGUGAUUCUGGCGUGCUUGGGCCUGGGGCUUGCAAUUCUUCCCCACAAACGAGGAAUGCCUAGUAGCGGUGGGUCACUGAGCCCACCGUGACUCAGUCCCUGCCCUUUGUACACACCGCCCGUCGCUACUACCGAUUGGGUGUACCAGUGAGAGCCUUGGACUGGCGGCCGUUGCCUUCGGGCAAGCGGAUUUCGACGGUAAGAGGUACGAACUGGUGCACUUAGAGGAAGUAAAAGUCGUAACAAGGUUUCCGUAGGUGAACCUGCGGAAGGAUCAUUAA